rnacentral:lncRNA from 1 species
CCGCCCCCCGGCCCCGCGUCCUCUGCAGGAGUUCGUCGGCGGACAUGGGGAUCUCGUUCAAGCUAUCUAAGGUCGGCCUUCGCGUGCAACCGACCGCGCGGUCUGCCGCUCCGGGGCUACCGGCCGCGGCGGAGACGGAGAAGCCGGGCGCCGGUGAGAAGGAUGGUUCGAGGCCGGAAGCCAAACGGGAGGUAAGCCGUGUUUCUACCGGCUGGGUUCGGCCGCGGGGUGGCCCAGACGAUCCGGGCACGCAAAGUUGUAGUCUUUUGUGUGAUAGGGGAGGAAAUUCGGGUUUUGGCCUGCAAUUUUUGGCUUUUCGCGUCGAAUUUGCGGCUGCGGGGAUGAUCCGUGGUUGUGUCCACGGAAAGGGUCAGAAUUUCCCGGUGAUUUCUACUCGAGAGUUCUUCGUUCAGCUCCCUAGUAGAGGAUUUCUAGGCCCAAUUACAUUGUUGUUCGAAAUGGGUGCCAAUUGCAUGUUCGAAGAUUGCAAUCUGGUGGGCUCCUCGAUUGCAAAAUUUUAUACAGCAUUUCCUUCAUAAAGUAGCCAGAUUUAAUGACAUCUUCAUUAGAAAAGUACUCCCUAUCACACAAAUGAAGAUGUAGUUAAUUCUGUCUACUAAUCUAAAUGAAGAUGUUACAGUAAAAAAUAGUGGACCUUCUAGUGAUAACUACGCAUAAUGUACUCCCUCCAUACCAAAAUAUAAAAUAUUUUUGCAGUUCAAAUUGAACUACAAAAGCGUCUUAUAUUUGGGUACAGAGGUAGUAGUACUCCAUUGUAAUUGCAAAUGAGUACAUUAUAUUACCUCCGUUCAGAAAUAAGUGGCACUGUUUUAGUUCAAAUUUAAACUAAAACAGCUUCACUUAUUUCCGAAUGGAGAAAUAGUUAUCACUAGAAGGUCCACUAUUUUUACUGUAACAUAUCCGAUAAAUGCUUCUAGUAAUCUAAGUUCAAAACUCAGAGCAUGCUGCUCUUGGUAACUCUGUAUACUGUAGGUUUGGGCGCUUGCUGAUUUGAGCGUCAUUGAUACAAUCAGCAGCAGCAAUGUGUUUUUCUGUUCUCAGGUCCGCACAAAUGCUUUUAGCGAAGGUGCUUUCUUUUUGCCGGGACAGUACUUUAAUUUGAAGGAGCAG